rnacentral:rRNA from 1 species
CUCAGGAUGAACGCUAGCGAUAGGCUUAACACAUGCAAGUCGAGGGGCAUCGGGUAAGUAGCUUGCUACUUAUGCCGGCGACCGGCGCACGGGUGCGUAACGCGUAUGCAACCUACCUGUCAGACUGGGAUAACCCGGUGAAAGCCGGACUAAUACUGGAUAUACUUAUUCUUCUGCAUGGGGGGAUAAGGAAAGAUUUAUUACUGACAGUAUGGGCAUGCGUUUCCAUUAGCUAGUUGGUGAGGUAACGGCUCACCAAGGCGACGAUGGAUAGGGGAACUGAGAGGUUUAUCCCCCACACUGGUACUGAGACACGGACCAGACUCAUACGGGAGGCAGCAGUGAGGAAUAUUGGUCAAUGGGCGAGAGCCUGAACCAGCCAAGUCGCGUGAGGGCAGACGGUCCUAAGGAUUGUAAACCUCUUUUUCAGGGGAGUAAAAUUAGAUACGCGUAUUUAAUUGCAAGUACCCUGCGAAUAAGCAUCGGCUAACUCCGUGCCAGCAGCCGCGGUAAUACGGAGGAUGCGAGCGUUAUCCGGAUUUAUUGGGUUUAAAGGGUGCCGUAGGUUGUUUUGUAAGUCAGUUGGUGAACCCUGGGGGCUCAACCCCCUA